GGGUUGUGAGGUUAAGCGACUAAGCGUACACGGUGGAUGCCCUGGCAGUCAGAGGCGAUGAAGGACGUGCUAAUCUGCGAUAAGCGUCGGUAAGGUGAUAUGAACCGUUAUAACCGGCGAUUUCCGAAUGGGGAAACCCAGUGUGAUUCGUCACACUAUCAUUAACUGAAUCCAUAGGUUAAUGAGGCGAACCGGGGGAACUGAAACAUCUAAGUACCCCGAGGAAAAGAAAUCAACCGAGAUUCCCCCAGUAGCGGCGAGCGAACGGGGAGGAGCCCAGAGCCUGAA
rnacentral:rRNA from 1 species